AUCUCUCUAAUUCUUGUUGUCCUUGUUCUUUUUGGGGGGUUUUGGGCUUUUUUUUUUUUUGUUUUUUCAUUUUGUUUUAUUUGUAUUGUUUUGGGUUUUGAGUUUGAAGUUUUGCUGGUAGUAGAUCUGGGAAUCAGAGUGCAUGGUUUUGUUUAUUUGAUUUGUUUUGGUGUGGCUUUGAUGAGUUUUCUCGGGAUUUGUGUGCUGUUUUUUGUUCUGUUGAAGUGCAUGCCUGACUCUACUUUAUCGUGUUUGGUUGCGGAGAAAAUGGAGGAAAGGAAAAGAAAAGAAAUGAAAAAUUGUUUGAUUGUAUAUAAUAUGGGUGGUUUUUCAUCCUCCGGGACUCUAGAGGAAAUGAAUCUUUUCCUAGUUGAGGAACGAAGGGGACGGAUAGGGGUUUUUUAGGCAUUAUGAUUUCAUGCUUGGAAGAUGUUGGAUUUACUGCCAGUGGCGUUUUGGAUUUGAGGCUAGGAAAGACUUUGAGUUAGUGAAUGUUCUCUUGCUGCUUCGAAGAUGAAUAAGGGGGCUUGAUCUCUUUGAGGAUCAUUAGUUCAAGCAGUGACAUGUAAUUGCUUGACAACGAGAGAGAGCACGCUAGUCUGCAUUCAUGCGAGGAACAUGACUGUGUACAGGCGUGCUCUCUGUCGCUGUCAUACAAUCUUCUCAUCAAGGCUGUCUUACAUAUUCACCUUGUUCGUGAGCAUUGGACCUCAAGGCAUACAGACUAGCAGACUCUUGCAGGAUCAUCUUGAGACAGAAUGGUUCAGAUGAGCCUUGAAAUUUAAUCUUGAAGUUAAGCAGGGCUUUCAUUUGGCAUGUGCCUUGCAAGCAUUAGCAUAGUCAAAAGUAGGCUUUGCAGCUAGCAUAUGCAGAGGGGAGUUUCCAUCAUAACAGAAUCCAUGAGACCAUCCAGCCUAUCAAUAAUUUGUAACGCCAGAUCUGUGGAGCACAACUAUUGUGAUGAGGUCACAUUACAGGUGAGUAGUACUGUCGAUUCUAUUGAUAUGUGAUUUAUAUUAUGAGAAGCAAGACACCUAAGGCAUCUACCAUGGACUAUGGAGAAGAGUCCAACCCCUUACCCAAGUGUCCUCCUUCAAUGGCACUGUGAAGAGCAGUGCCAUCAAGCCUGGCAUGGGAGUAGUCAUGGGCUUGGGUGGGGCUGUCUCACAUUUCAUAGACCGAAAGGGAAGUGUCUUUAUCACCUAGGAAAGCAGCGAAGAAAAGAGGUGAUAUAUAUUGGAUUGUCUAUUUUCCACUGCUAACAGCACUAUGUUCUUGUCCUCCUGAUCCCUGUCAAGAAUGGUCAUAGGAAAAACUUGUAGGAUUUUUUCUACCAUUUCCACAAUACCGUUCCUUGCUGCAGCAAGCAUUGGUGCCUCAUCAGCUGCAAGGAGAACAAAACCCAUUCUUCUGCCUCUCCUUAAUAUUACUUUCCACCAGAUCUGCCUCUCCUUAAUAUUAGUUACAGAUGGAGCAAGUGGUUGAAUAACUUUUCUUCACAUUUAUGUAUACAAACCUACGAAUUUAUUUGUAAGAAACAGAGUUGACAAAGAAGUUUCCUUCCCUUCUUCUGAAGUAUCCAUAUUAUGAAUAACAAUAUCGACCUGUCUCAUCGUUUUCAAGAUUCAUUUAAUAUAUACGUCUUGCAUCAUGUUCAA